rnacentral:lncRNA from 1 species
UCAACUCCGUAGUCGAACUGGGGUCGCCGGCAGUCUCGGGGUCUACCGGAAAGAAGUAACGGAGGGGGAACACAAUAAAUAACAGAGCAAUCAAAGCAUCACAAAGCGUAGCAUGGCAAUACGCGGUGCUAGGUGUGCCUAACGCGGUAGUAGGUGAUACCGCCGAGUGGGGGAAACAUCCGGGAAAGUAUCCCCGGUGUUUCGCAUUUUCAGACAGAUGAACCGGAGGGGGAAAGUUGCGUGUUUACUAUGCUAGGGAUGUGUGGCGGACGAGCGGGCUGCAUAUCUGGAUUCGUCUUGUCGUUCUGAGCAACUUUCAUGUAGAAAGUAUUUUCAUCCGAGUAACAGUUUAUUUUAUAUGAUUUUCUAACGUUUUAACAAUAUUCUGGAAUUUAUUAAAAUCGGAAAUAAAUGAUUAAAUCGCUAUGGGUACACAGAAGUGUACCCAGCUGUUUGCACCAGGGGCUGUCAGGUGGGGGCCGGUUGACUGCCCAGUCAGCAGUCAACCGAGACUGUUGACUAGUCAAAGGGGUUAGGGGACCCGCAUGUCAUUGACUGGGUUAUCCCAGUCAGCAGUUUGACUGGUCAAUGGGACCAGUGGGACCCCACUGUAAGUGCCAGUUCUAUUUAUUUUAAUCCAACAAUGGGUCCACAUGUCAUAUACACUACACCUAACCACUAAUUAGCCUAACUACUAGUAGUAAUUUAGCUACUAGCAUAAAAAGGGUCGGUCUCAUCCAGAGACCCAGCCGGCCAUACACACACAUGGCCGCACCCACAGUCGCGCACACACACAACACACACACACACACCACACGCUGCACGCACACACUGACACUCACGCACACACUGACACUCACCCAUGGCCAUGGCCAGCGGUAGCAGCUGCGCGCGGCGGACAGCGGCACCGGCGAGCAGCAGCGGAGCCGGCGAGCAGCGGCAACACACAGGAGCAGCAACAGUUAAAAGCAGCAACAGGAGGAGGAACGGCAACAGUGCAGCCGCAAGCAGGCAGCAGGAGCAGCAGCGGCAAGCUGGGCGGCGACGGGGCUGCGAACAGGGAGCUCGCGCGGGAGAAGAGAGCUCCACAGCUCGAGAUCGAGCCAUGGAUUGGGCUAGGUGGCAUCUACACAGGGCCUAGAGUACACACACCUUAACAGAAUACGAUGGGGAGAACGACAUCGAUGCAUCCAUCGGCCAUGGCGGACAACGGAGCGAAAGCUCGUGGGGACGGCGCUACGAGAGGAAAUCGAGCAUGGGAGGGGAAACGAACGGAGGCUUACAGUGGAUGUGAUGAGAACCUUGACUGCAACAACGAUGGUCGGAGUGUAGCGAAUUCGUGCGAUGGCCGAGGUAGGCGUGGUCGGGGAAGACCAUCGAUCUUGCCGAUGUAGUGCCUCCCGACUCGAACUGGUCUUCGUGGUCGAUGAAGACGAAGGAGGCUGAGCGUCUAGACACCAUCUCUCUGUGCGGGGAGGCAAGCGACCGCGGGAUCGACACGACGACCGUGAUGGCAGCGCUCGGGUUAGCUCGAACAGAGGAGAGGGAGCGGGGGAAAGGAAAGCAGAGGAGC